rnacentral:rRNA from 1 species
AGACCCGAAACCCGGUGAUCUAGCCAUGGGCAGGUUGAAGGUUGGGUAACACUAACUGGAGGACCGAACCGACUAAUGUUGAAAAAUUAGCGGAUGACCUGUGGCUGGGGGUGAAAGGCCAAUCAAACCGGGAGAUAGCUGGUUCUCCCCGAAAGCUAUUUAGGUAGCGCCUCGUGAAUUCAUCUCCGGGGGUAGAGCACUGUUUCGGCUAGGGGGCCAUCCCGGCUUACCAACCCGAUGCAAACUGCGAAUACCGGAGAAUGUUAUCACGGGAGACACACGGCGGGUGCUAACGUCCGUCGUGAAGAGGGAAACAACCCAGACCGCCAGCUAAGGUCCCAAAGUCAUGGUUAAGUGGGAAACGAUGUGGGAAGGCCCAGACAGCCAGGAUGUUGGCUUAGAAGCAGCCAUCAUUUAAAGAAAGCGUAAUAGCUCACUGGUCGAGUCGGCCUGCGCGGAAGAUGUAACGGGGCUAAACCAUGCACCGAAGCUGCGGCAGCGACGCUGAUGCGUUGUUGGGUAGGGGAGCGUUCUGUAAGCCUGCGAAGGUGGCCUGUGAGGGUUGCUGGAGGUAUCAGAAGUGCGAAUG